rnacentral:lncRNA from 1 species
CUCAGGAGGCUGCGACAGGGGAAUCACUUGAUCCUGGGAGGCGGAGGUUGCAGUGAGCCAAGAUUACACCAUUGUAUUCCAGCCUGGGCAACAAGAGCAAAACCCAAUCUGAAAAAAAAAAAAAAAAAAAAAAAAAGACUCCAGCUGCAGUAGGCUGCAUGGAGGUGGCCCGGAGCAAAUGUGAGAGUAUCAGUUAGGAGGACACUAACUAAGAAGCCAGAUAAUAACAGCUGGGACUUGGGUGAUUGAGGAGAUGGACAGGAAAGAGAUCCAGGAGGCAAAAUUCACAGAUCUGGGAGCUUGGAUAUGGCAGGUAAGGGACAGGAUGUUGUCAAGGAUGACCUCCAGCUUUCUAGCUUACACAACAAUGUCCAAAGGGAUGCAGGACUAAGUUUGGCCUGGCUGGGUCCCAUUCUCACCCCUAUGGACAGGAUCAAGUACUGUGGCUCAUUAAAAUUACUGGAUUCAUGUAGAGUUUGGGAGAGAUUUUCUGAAGAGAAGUGGUACUGUUACCAGGAAAAGAGGGAUGGGAAAACCACAGCCACUGCAGGGAAAACAUAGAGUGGCCAGUCUCUGGCCACCCUGAGAUACUUAGCAGUAAGUGCUACAUUUAUAUUUGCCAUUAAACAUCAGUUUGCAUAUGCCACAGGGCAAGACACCAAAGGUCACGUUCCAGCUGCUUCAGGAGCCCCCUGGGGGAGGUUUCCUGCUGUCAAAUUCACUGUCAUAAGCACUCGCCAGUAGGGGCACUGUUACUCUUCGCAGCCACUUCCCUGGCCCCUGAGGUGGCCAACCAGGUGGCAUCUUGGCCCCAGCUUGAGUUGGAGGUUAAAAGGACAGAGAGAUUAGUUCCAACAGUUUCAGCCAGCCUUGGAAGUGGCAGAAUGAGCUACAGUCAUACUGCACAGGAACAUUUAGUCCUAGUUUUGCAUAAAGACCCACAAUGCACUCAUGCACUCUUUGGCAUUCUUUAAAUCUUGCCCCAUUGUGACGUGGAGACAUGGAUCUUAAGAAGAAAAAAUGGUCUUUGUUCAUCUUAGGUAUUUCUUUCAGUGGUACCUAGAGGCCAUUGGCAAAUAUGUUCAAAUUAUAAACCAAAAUGAUAAGCCAGGGAGGAAGUUAAAAGAAUAAGAACUGGUCUUUCAAGGUCCCCUAAGGUAUUCAGCCAAACCGGUUGUCUUAAUGACAAAGUAAAAGAAGCCAAACUGCCCAGGAUGUUUGUCUAAGAAAAUGAUAGGCCACUUUUCACAUAUCGAGUGACGGAUGCAGACUUGCGAGGGUUUGCUAAGUUCUUGUAAAGGGGCAGGGGUGGCUGCAAGUUUCGUCAUGCAGAGGAUGGAUGCAAAGUCAAAUGCUCUAUCUAGCAGGUCAAUUUGUUUUCUUGCUUGUUUGUUUUUUUUUUCCAAAAUACUGUUUAAAAAAAAAAUCUGUUGGAAAUAGUUUGAGCAGUCAAGAAAAACAAAAGCAAACUCAGGGAAAGACAAUAUACUGUCUACACGAUACCAAAACAGGAAAGUCCUGGGUAUCUGUCACAGAGGUGUAGAAUGGCAAAUGGAGCUGGCGUCAAUCUCCUCCAAAAUGGUGGAAAUCCUGGGCUUUUUACUUAAUACUUUAGUACUAAGUAAAUCGAUGGCACCUCCAAGUUGGUGGUUUCUGUACUUCCUGCAGAACGGGUCUCUGGGCCUGAGCCCACCAUCAGGGUUGGCAGCCACCUCCGGGGCGGUGCUAUCUUUGCUAUGGUAUCUCUGCUUAGUAAUAAGAACUAAGGUGUAUGGGAGCUCACUGUGGGCCAGGUGCUCCACGAGCUUUGCAUAAUAGUUAUUUCCAUCAAAUCUUCACAACAACCUGUGAGGUAGCCCUAUAUCUAUCCCAUUUUUUUUUUUUUUAAGAUGGAGUCUCACUCUCUCACCAGGCUGGAAUGCAGGGGCGCAAUCUUGGUUCACUACAACCUCCUCCUCCCGGGUUCAAGCGGUUCUCCUGCCUCCCAAGUAGCUGGGACUACAGGCACGUACCACCAUGCCCAGCUAAUUUUUGUAUUUUUAGUAGGGACGGUAUUUCACCAUUUUGGCCAGGAUGGUCUCGAUCUCUUGACCUCGUGAUCCACCCGCUUCAGCCUCCCAAAGUGCUGGGAUUACUGGCAUGAGCCACUGUGCCUGGCUUUUUUUUUUUUUUUUUUAAUUUUGUUUAAAUAGAGAUGGGAUCUCCUUAUGUUGCCCAGGCUGGCCUCAAACUCCUGAGCUCAAGCCAUCACCCCCCUCUCGGUCUCCCAAAGCACUGGGAUUACAGGCAUGAGCCACUGCACCCAGCCUCAUCCCCAUUUUAACACAAGUACACUGAGCCCUAGCAAAGAGCUAUAACUUACUGAAAACCCCACAGCUGAUAAAUGGUGGCACUGGGAUUUGAACCUGAGCAGUCUGUUUCCAGAGUCUGCCGGCUGAGCUACUGUGCGAAAACAGUGCCUUCCAAACAUUCUUUUCUACCUUAUUGCUCCUUGAAUUCUGGCCCUGGCUCCAGUUUGGGGCCAAGCAGAAGAUAGGGUUGGUGGGCAUGAUGGUAACAGGGUCUAUCUGAAAGUGAGUAUUUGGGGCUGGGCGCAAGGGCUGACAUCUGUAAUCUCAGCAUUUUUGGGAGGCUGAGGUGAAAGGAUCACUUGAGGCCAGAAGUUCAAGACCAGACUGGGCAACACAGCAAGAUGCCAUCUUUAAAAAAUAAAAAAAGUAGCCAGGCAUGGUGGCAUGUACCUGUAGUGUCAGCUACUUGGGAGGCUGAGGUGGGAGGAUCUCUGGAGCCUGGGAGUUCAAGUGUGCAGUAGGCCACGAUUGCACCACUGCACUCAUGGAAAGAAGGAAAGAGAGAAAGAGGACAGGUGUGGUGGCUCACGCCUGUAAUCCUAGCAGUUUGGGAGGCUGAGGGGGGCAGAUCACAUGAGGUCAGGAGAUCGAGACCAGCCUGGCCAAUAUGGUGAAACCCCAUCUUUACUAAGAAUACAAAUUAGCUGAGCUUGGUGGCACAUGCCUGUAGUCCCAGCUUCUUGGGAUGCAUGAGUCCCAGCUUUUUGAGGCACAAGAAUUGCUUGAACCCGGGAGGUGGAGGUUGCAGUGAGCAGAGAUCGUGAUGCUCAGAGAGUGCACUCCACUCCAGCCUGGGUGACACAACAAGACUCUGUCUCAAGAAAAAGGAAAAAGAAAGAGUGCUCACGUUGGCAGCAUAGGUACUAAAAUUGGAAUGAUACAGAGAUUAGCAUGGCUCCUGUGCAAGGAUGACACAAAUUCCAAAGCAUGAGAGAGAGAGAGAGAGAGAGAGAAAGAGAAAAGAAAAGAAAGAAAGAAAGGAAAAGAAAAGAAAAGAAAGAAAGAAAAGAAAGGAAAGAAAGAAAGGAAAAGAAAAGAAAAAAGAAAGAAAAAAAGAAAAGAGAAUGAGAGAGAGAGAGAAAGAAAAAGAGGGGGUUGAGGUAGGGGUUUUACAUUUGUCCUUCAACUAUGGGCUAACCAUAGUGACUUCCCUGCUGUCCACAUAAGGGUGAUUGGUUGUUGUGCCCAGUGUUGGCUGCUGCUGCCAACAAUUUCCCAGUAUGCUGAGAGGACACACAGGCUGCUACCAAGUAAGACCAGAGGGGCAGAGACUCUUAUAACCCACCCAAUAGCUAGCAUCUCUUUUUUUUCCUUAGAAACAGAACAUUAAGGCCAGGAGCGGUGGCUCACACCUAUAAUCCCAGAACUUUGGGAAGCCGAGAUGGGUGGAUCACCUGAGAUCAGGAGUUCGAGAUCAGCCUGACCAACAUGGUGAAACCCCAUCUUUACUAAAAAUACAAAAUUAUCAGGGUGUGGUGGUGAAUGACUGGUAAUCCCAGCUACUUGGGAGGCUUAGGCAGGAGAAUUGCUUGAACCCAGGAGGUGGAAGUUGCAGUGAGCUGAGAUCAUGCCACUGCACUCCAGCCUGGGGAGACAAGAGCAAAACUCCAAGCUCCAUCUCAAAAAAAAAAAAAAAAAAAAAAAAAAAACAUUAAUUUUAUUUAGCUGGGCAAUGCCCCCCAACUAAAACACUAGAUUUCCCUGUCUCCUUUGCACGCAGGCAUGUGACUAAGCUCUAAACAAUGAGACAUUAGCAGAAGUGUUCUGAAAGACUUCGGGGAUUAAAGGGACCUAACUCAACAGGAGGUGAAUUCUUUUGCUCCCCUCCUCCUUCCCGAUGGCCGAAAUGAAACGUGAUGGCUAACAUGCAACAUGACGGCUGACACUCAAAUAGCUAGAUUGGACAGUAGAGUCUACUCUGUAGGUGAGCAGUGCUUCCAAAGCUUUAAAGUGCAUGUGAAUCCCCUAGGGAUCUUGUUAACACUGCAGACUGAUUCAGUAGGUGUUGGAUAUGUUUCCUAUAUUCCCUAGUUCUGUUCAUAAAGGCAGCCUAGGUUCAGUGACUGCCCUAACGUAUAGGAGCACACCUGGCACCCAGAUAUUGGCUUCUAAAUGCCACACUGCACUAAAAGAAACCAGGGCUUCUUGGAAAAAUGGCUAAUUGCAAAGCAGGAGCAGGGAAGAUAUAAGAAAAGACUGGUACAUCUUGUGCCAUAAAGCCAGGAAGUAGGCCGGGCGCAGUGGCUCAUGCCUGUAAUCCCAACACUUUGGGAGGUUGAAGUGGGCAGAUCGCAAGGUCAGGAGUUCGAGACCAGCAUAGCCAACAAGGUGAAACCCCGUCUCUACUAAAGCUACAAAAAUUAGCCGGGCGUGGUGGCAGGCACCUGUAAUCCCAGCUGUUCAGGAGGCUGAGACAGGAGAAUUGCUUGAACCCGGGUGGCAGAGGUUGCAGUGAGCUGAGAUUGCGCAUCAGCCUGGGCAACAGAGUGAGACUGCGUCUCAAAAAAAAAAAAAAAAAAAAGCCAGGAAGUACUAAAAAAAUAAUGGGGAUGGGCCAGGCGCGGUGGCUCUGGCCUGUAAUCCCAGCACUUUGGGAGGGCAAGGCAGGCAGAUCAUGAGGUCAGGAGUUUGAGACCAGCCUGGCCAAUAUGGUGAAACCCUGUCUCUACUAAAAAUAUUAAAAAUUAGCUGGGUGUGGUGGCGCACACCUGUAGUCCCAGCU